rnacentral:rRNA from 1 species
CACGUAGGGGGCAAGCGUUGUCCGGAAUUAUUGGGCGUAAAGAGCUCGUAGGCGGCUUGUUGCGUCGACCGUGAAAACUUGGGGCUUAACCCUAAGCUUGCGGUUGAUACGGGCAGGCUAGAGUUCGGUAGGGGAGACUGGAAUUCCUGGUGUAGCGGUGAAAUGCGCAGAUAUCAGGAGGAACACCGGUGGCGAAGGCGGGUCUCUGGGCCGAUACUGACGCUGAGGAGCGAAAGCGUGGGGAGCGAACAGG